rnacentral:tRNA from 1 species
UGGGGUGUAGCUCCAUGGUAGAGCACAUGCUUACCAUGCACAAAGCCCUGGGUUCAAUCCCCAGCACCAAAA